rnacentral:rRNA from 1 species
ACGGGAGGCAGCAGUGGGGAAUAUUGGGCAAUGGGCGAAAGCCUGACCCAGCAACGCCGCGUGAAGGAAGAAGGCCUUCGGGUUGUAAACUUCUUUUACCAGGGACGAAGGACGUGACGGUACCUGGAGAAAAAGCAACGGCUAACUACGUGCCAGCAGCCGCGGUAAUACGUAGGUUGCAAGCGUUGUCCGGAAUUACUGGGUGUAAAGGGAGCGCAGGCGGGAAAUCAAGUUGGAUGUGAAAUGUCGGGGCUUAACCCCGGAACUGCAUCCAAAACUGAUUUUCUUGAGUGAAGUAGAGGUAGGCGGAAUUCCGAGUGUAGCGGUGAAAUGCGUAGAUAUUCGGAGGAACACCAGUGGCGAAGGCGGCCUACUGGGCUUUAACUGACGCUGAGGCUCGAAAGUGUGGGGAGCAAACAGGAUUAGAUACCCUGGUA